rnacentral:rRNA from 1 species
UACGGGGCGCAGCAGGCGGGAAAACUUUACAAUGCAGGCAACAGCGAUAGGGGAACAUCGAGUGACAGCCUCAUAAGUUGGCUGUCCCGUCGCGUAAAAAACCCGUGUUAGCAAGGGCCGGGCAAGACCGGUGCCAGCCGCCGCGGUAACACCGGCGGCUCGAGUGGUGGCCGAUAUUAUUGGGUCUAAAGGGUUCGUAGCCGGUUUGGUAAGUCCUCCGGGAAAUCCAGGGGUUAAACGGUAGGUCUUUCGGGGAUAAU